UAGAGUUUGAUCCUGGCUCAGGACGAACGCUGGCGGCGUGCCUAAUACAUGCAAGUCGAGCGGGCCAGAACGAAGGGUAACCGGAGUUCUGGUUUAGCGGCGCACGGGUGAGUAACGCGUAGGUAAUCUACUCUGAAGACCGGGAUAACACCUCGAAAGGGGUGCUAAUACCGGAUACGCUCUUCUCCUCGACGGAGGGGAAGAGGAAAGGUGGCGGAAGGCGCAAGCCUGCUACCACUUCGGAAUGAGCCUGCGUCCUAUUAGCUAGUUGGUAGGGUAAUGGCCUACCAAGGCUAUGAUGGGUAGCUGGUCUGAGAGGACGGUCAGCCACACUGGGACUGAGACACGGCCCAGACUCCUACGGGAGGCAGCAGUAGGGAAUAUUGGGCAAUGGGCGAAAGCCUGACCCAGCGACGCCGCGUGGGCGAUGAAGGUCUUUGGAUUGUAAAGCCCUUUUCAGGGAGAAGAAGGGAUCGCCGGGGAAUACCUGGUGAUCCUUGACGGUACCCCUGGAAUAAGCCCCGGCUAACUACGUGCCAGCAGCCGCGGUAAUACGUAGGGGGCAAGCGUUGUCCGGAAUUACUGGGUGUAAAGGGCGUGUAGGCGACUCCUUAAGUUGAAUGUGAAAUCUCCCGGCUCAACUGGGAGGAGUCAUUCAAUACUGAGGGGAUGUGAGGACAGAAGAGGGAAGUGGAAUUCCCGGUGUAGCGGUAAAAUGCGUAGAUAUCGGGAGGAACACCAGUGGCGAAGGCGGCUUCCUGGUCUGUCCCUGACGCUGAGGCGCGAAAGCUAGGGGAGCAAACGGGAUUAGAUACCCCGGUAGUCCUAGCCCUAAACGUUGGGUACUAGGUGUAGGAAAGGUUCAAUCUUUUCUGUGCCGUAGCUAACGCGUUA
rnacentral:rRNA from 1 species